CCUGCGGAGGGAUCAUUACACAACAAAAUAUGAAGGCCUGGCUUUCGCGGCCGGCUGAAGUAUUUUUUUCACCCAUGUCUUUUGCGCACUUGUUGUUUCCUGGGCGGGUUCGCCCGCCACCAGGACCAAACCAUAAACCUUUUUUUCUUAUGCAGUUUCCAUCAGCGUCAGUAAAAACAAUGUAAUUAUUACAACUUUCAACAACGGAUCUCUUGGUUCUGGCAUCGAUGAAGAACGCAGCGAAAUGCGAUACGUAGUGUGAAUUGCAGAAUUCAGUGAAUCAUCGAAUCUUUGAACGCACAUUGCGCCCUUUGGUAUUCCAAAGGGCAUGCCUGUUCGAGCGUCAUUUGUACCUUCAAGCUUUGCUUGGUGUUGGGCGUUUUUUUGUCUCCCUCUUUCUGGGAGACUCGCCUUAAAACGAUUGGCAGCCGGCCUACUGGUUUCGGAGCGCAGCACAUUUUUUGCGCUUUGUAUCAGGAGAAAAGGACGGUACUCCAUCAAGACUCUACAUUUUUCACUUUUGACCUCGGAUCAGGUAGGGAUACCCGCUGAACU
rnacentral:rRNA from 1 species